GGCAUGAGGCUGCACAGGCUCUAGGAACUUUUUUUUUUUUUUUUUUGGUUAUUUGAGACAGGACUUCUCUUUAUAGCCCUGGCUGCUCUAGGAACUUUUGGCAUAGCUGGCAUUUCUGCUCUGGCCGAAGCCACUGAGGACCCUUUGCCUGAAGCGACGGCUUGUCCUUCAGUAGGUCUCUGAAAGCCAUCAGGCAAUCAAUAGGACCAGAGGGGAAAAGUCAGAACAAGUCUAGAUUAGUCAUCACCUGCUUUUGCAAAAGCUGGCUGUGAUUUGGACUUCUCAGAUCAAUGCAGGCUUCUGCAGCCUCUUUCUAUGAGAGGCAGCAGGCUUCUCCAGACCAGAGACUCCCCUUAAGUUCUUCAGUAGAGAGAGUCCUGGGAGCCCAGGCAGGCCCUCUUGCUGAGGUGUGGCUUUUGUGCUAGCAGACCACACUGAGCCACUCAUGACAGACUGGCAGAGGGACAGAGAAGGCCCUUUGCCCUUGGUUCUCCAUGCCCCUUACUCUACAGGCCUGUCCCGUCUCCCCUCAGAUGGCCUGCCUGUUCUCUGCAGUCAGCAAGAGGCAGCCUCACUUUCUUGGAGAAUUCUCUCAGCCCAGACCUUCUGCAAGUCAUUGUGAGGGAGCCUUUUUUUUUUUCCCUUGAGCAGCAAUUAAUCACCUCCCCUCCCACUUUUUUCCACCAGAGGAAUUCAUCAACACUGAUUGGUAAUUUUUUAAUAAUGGUGAUAAGAAGCAUUGUUUUCUUGUGGCUGUUUAAAAAAGUAAAUUAGUAGCCAUGUGACUAAAACAGUAAUUUGUGGUUAUUUGUUUUAGAGGGAUCUGUAAGCAUCCCUUUUAUUAGUAGUCAAGAGCAGAUUAUUUCCAAUGCUAUUUCUGUGGUGAUGGGAAAUAGGGAGGUUAUGGUCUGGCUCAGUGCUGAGAGCUCUCUGAGCUCAGAGAGCAGGUUCUGGGGACACAGAGAGGAUCUGUCACUCCUCCAUUCAGGGACCCCUGACCCUUGCCGAGUUGGGGAGGCUGUGAUGUCUAGCAAAUCGAAACUCUCCUUUCUGUCCAGGAAGCAAAUGUAACUCUCAUUUUCUAACUUUAGAGAUAAUUUUUAGAAUAAACGUUUAUUUUCCCACAGAAUUCGGUUUAUUUUUAGCCAUUAUUUUUAGUUGCAUAAGUAAUAUUUAUCAUAGAGGAAUGAUAACCUUAUGGGUGACCAGAAAAAGGGGGACGCUUGGUGAUUUUUCUACCUAGAGCCACAGUUAAUACUUAGUUAAUACUUAUUUAGGAGGCAUCUUCCAGUCUCUUAUUGAGGUAAUAUCUUGGUUGUAUGAGCUUCCUGGAGUGUGCUUGAACAAGCUAAGAUUGUUCUGCAGCCAUCGGUGACACCAUUGUUAUUGCAAUCCAUUGUUGACCUGGACAUCAUGUGAGAAUAGUGACCAUAUUAUGUAUUCUCUUGGUUUUUUAUGUAUUCUCUUGUAACCUUCUUAAUCAAUUGCCUUCAUCUUAUAUCUUGAAUAUGACUAUCAUACCAGCAAAUACAAGUGUGCACAUAAUCAAUAACAUAAUGUCUGCGGUAUGUAAUAGUCCACCAUAGCUAACUGGUUUUCUUGUACCUUUGGUUUUUGGCUGGUUUGAACAUCUUUUUUAUUUUUCCUGGGUAUUUAUUGCUCUUCCCACAUUGCCUGCAUUUGUGUUUUUCGCUCAUUUUCGAGAUCUAUGUUCAUAACUUUGCUUGACUUUUAGGUAAUCUUUAAUAUCGAAAUACAUAUAUGCUUAGUUGUCUGCUAUACACAUUUCACUGUGGGUUCCUGAUUUCUUUUUGGUUUAGUUGUUGUUGUUGUGGUUUUCCCAUGAGGAAAUCUGGUGUGUGUGGUUUGGGAUUUGUUAUCUUAUGGUUCAUGCAUAUGUUCAGAGCCAUUCCUCAGACCCAGAUUAUAGAAUCAUUCAGACACCUUCAGCAAUGUCUGGGAUACCCCAACUUUAAGCCAGUCUGGAAUCCAUCAGCCAGCCCUUCUGGUGUAUGGCGUGUGUGAGAAGUCCUGUUUCGCUUUUCUGAUCCUUCUUGUUUUUAAGUUACUUACCCUGUUACAAAUCGACAGGCACUAAAAGGCCUCAUGUGCUUGAGGAGUUCUGACUUGCUUCCUUGGCCUGCCUUCCAGUAGGAAGCGGAGGGGCUUCAGCAGUGAGCAAAGUCAGCUUCAUUCUCAUCCUGAGGCCGCAGUGUUGCGAGGACAGUGAAGCCAGACUGGACCCCGCACCCCAGCUUCUGUUAGGGUUCUUCAGUGGCCCAGACACCAGAACUCUGAGCCUUUGCCCUGGGGACCUUCCUGUCUAACCUAGAUGUCUGCCUUGUGGAAGAGAGGUGUUCUGCAUCUUCUGACAUGUCGGUAUCGAGAUGGAGACGGUGCCGCCUUUGCAACAUUCGGUGUCAUGAGAAUACUUCCCAGGGGAGCGGCAUCCGCUUAUUUAAGCCUAUCUGUGAUCCUCUCCUGCAGUUACCAUUUAGGUCCUCCUUGAUCACAGUUUCCUUGUUACAUGUGUUGGACUCGUUGCCAUAGCGUUGGGGAUUAGAAUAAUUUGUUUGGCCUUAGUACUCUUGUUUGGCCACUGCUUGUCAGUGACUUAAAAUGAGGGUUACAGGAUUCUCCAGCAGAUCAUUGUAUCUUCUGCAAAUAAUAAUUUUGGGUCCUUUUCUAUCCUGGUUCGUACUUACUUCAUUUUCUUGUCUAAUUACAUUGUCAAGCACUCAAAGAGAAGCACUAUAAUAGUGUGGUAAUACAUAGGUGCCUAUGAUAUUGACUUUAAUAUAAAUGCAUGGUGGUUAGUGUGAGAGCUUGUUUGUUGUUGUUUUUUUUACAUACAUUUAUUUGUUUGUGUAUGUGUGCACAUGUGUCUGUAGAAGUCAGAACACGACUUGGGGGAAUCAGUUCUCCCCUUCCAGCAUGUGGAUUUUAGGCAUCAAACUCAGGUGGUCAGGCUUGGUGGCAAGGGCCAUAACCUGCUGAGCCAUCUCACCAGCCCUUGAGAAAGUU
rnacentral:lncRNA from 1 species